rnacentral:rRNA from 1 species
UUCCGGUUGAUCCUGCCGGAGGUCACUGCUAUCGAGGUCCGACUAAGCCAUGCGAGUCGCAUGUUAAGCCCUCGGCAUACUGCUCAGUAACACGUGGAUAACCUGCCCUCAAGACGGGGAUAACCCCGGGAAACUGGGGAUAAUACUCGAUAGGUUAUGGUUCCUGGAAUGGGUUUUCGUCCAUAAAAUUCGAUACUUGAGGAUGGGUCUGCGCCUGAUUAGGUUGUUGCCGGUGUAACGUACAGGCAAGCCGAUAAUCAGUACGGGCUGUGAAAGCAGGAGCCCGGAGAUGGAUUCUGAGACAUGAAUCCAGGCCCUACGGGGCGCAGCAGGCGCGAAACCUUCACACUGCGCGAAAGCGCGAUGAGGGGACCUCGAGUGUCGGUGCCAAGCUCGACUGUCCCGCUGCCUAAAAAGCAGUGGUAGCAAGGGCCGGGCAAGAUCCGGUGCCAGCCGCCGCGGUAACACCGGCGGCUCGAGUGGUGACCGCUUUUAUUGAGCUUAAAGGGUCCGUAGCCGGUCUGGUAACUCUCUUGGGAAAUCUGGCGGCUUAACCGUCAGGGUCCGGGGGAAACUGCCAGACUUGGGAGCGGGGGAGGUUGGAGGUACUCCAGGGGUAGAGGUGAAAUUCUGUAAUCCUUGGGGGACCACCAGUGGCGAAGGCGUCCAACCAAAACGCGUCCGACGGUGAGGGACGAAAGCCAGGGGCGCGAACCGGAUUAGAUACCCGGGUAGUCCUGGCCGUAAACGAUGCGGGCUAGGUGUCACAGUGGCUACGAGCCACUGUGGUGCCGUAGAGAAAUCGUGAAGCCUGCCGCUUGGGAAGUACGGCCGCAAGGCUGAAACUUGAAGGAAUUGGCGGGGGAGCACUACAACGGGUGGAGCCUGCGGUUUAAUUGGAUUCAACGCCGGA